rnacentral:rRNA from 1 species
UACGAAGGGGGCUAGCGUUGCUCGGAAUUACUGGGCGUAACGGGCGCGUAGGCGGACAGUUUAGUCAGAGGUGAAAGCCCAGGGCUCAACCUUGGAAUAGCCUUUGAUACUGGCUGUCUUGAGUUCGGGAGAGGUGAGUGGAAUGCCGAGUGUAGAGGUGAAAUUCGUAGAUAUUCGGCGGAACACCAGUGGCGAAGGCGACUCACUGGCCCGAUACUGACGCUGAGGCGCGAAAGCGUGGGGAGCAAACAGG